rnacentral:rRNA from 1 species
AUUGAACGCUGGCGGCAGGCCUAACACAUGCAAGUCGAACGAGUGGCGGACGGGUGAGUAAUGUCUGGGAAACUGCCUGAUGGAGGGGGAUAACUACUGGAAACGGUAGCUAAUACCGCAUACCAUCGGAUGUGCCCAGAUUGGAUUAGCUAGUAGGUGGGGUAAAGGCUCACCUAGGCGCCGAUCCCUAGCUGGUCUGAGAGGAUGACCAGCCACAAGGGGACUGAGACACGGGCCAGACUCCUACGGGAGGCAGCAGUUGGGAAUAUUGGACAAUGGGGGCAAGCCUUAUUCAGCCAUGCCGCGUGUACGAAGAAGGCCUUCGGGUUGUAAAGUACUUUUGGCAGGGAAGCGGUACCCGCAGAAUAAGCACCGGCUAACUCCGUGCCAGCAGCCGCGGUAAUUC